GAAAUAAGAUUUUAAAUGAGUGCUAAGAGAAUGAUUAAACAAUUAAAAGCUUUCUUUAAUUAAAAAAUUAAAUUUAAUUUUUUAGUGCAAAAGCAAAAAUAAAAUUUAGGGACAAGAAGACCCUAUGAAUUUUUAUUGUUAAUAAUUAAAAUUUAAGUUAUUAAUAAUUUAAUUGGGGCGAUAAAAAAAGAAUAAGUAUCUUUUUAGUUAUAAAAUAAGUUCCGUUUUUAGCGAUCAAAUGAAAUAAAUACUCUAGGGAUAACAGCGUAAUAAUUUUGGAUAGUUCAUAUAGAUAAAAUAGUUUGCGACCUCGAUGUUGGAUUAGGAUUCUU
rnacentral:rRNA from 1 species